rnacentral:rRNA from 1 species
UGCAGUCGAGCGAGAUCUUCGGAUCUAGCGGCGGACGGGUUAGUAACGCGUGGGAACGUACCCAAAGGUAGGGAAUAGCCACUGGAAACGGUGAGUAAUACCCUAUGUGCCCUUCGGGGGAAAGAUUUAUCGCCUUUGGAUCGGCCCGCGUUAGAUUAGAUAGUUGGUGGGGUAACGGCCUACCAAGUCUACGAUCUAUAGCUGGUUUUAGAGGAUGAUCAGCAACACUGGGACUGAGACACGGCCCAGACUCCUACGGGAGGCAGCAGUGGGGAAUCUUGGACAAUGGGGGCAACCCUGAUCCAGCCAUGCCGCGUGAGUGAUGAAGGCCUUAGGGUCGUAAAGUUCUUUCGCCUGUGAAGAUAAUGACUGUAGCAGGUAAAGAAACCCCGGCUAACUCCGUGCCAGCAGCCGCGGUAAUACGGAGGGGGUUAGCGUUGUUCGGAAUUACUGGGCGUAAAGCGCGCGUAGGCGGACUGGAAAGUUGGGGGUGAAAUCCCAGGGCUCAACCCUGGAACUGCCUCCAAAACUAUCAGUCUAGAGUUCGAGAGAGGUGAGUGGAAUUCCGAGUGUAGAGGUGAAAUUCGUAGAUAUUCGGAGGAACACCAGUGGCGAAGGCGGCUC